rnacentral:rRNA from 1 species
AUUGAACGCUGGCGGCAGGCUUAACACAUGCAAGUCGAGCGGGGUGAUGGUGCUUGCAUUAUCACUUAGCGGCGGACGGGUGAGUAAUGCUUAGGAAUCUGCCUAUUAGUGGGGGACAACAUCUCGAAAGGGAUGCUAAUACCGCAUACGUCCUACGGGGGAAAGCAGGGGAUCACUUGUGACCUUGCGCUAAUAGAUGAGCCUAAGUCGGAUUAGCUAGUUGGUGGGGUAAAGGCAUACCAAGGCGACGAGCUGUAGCGGGUCUGAGAGGAUGAGCGGGCACACUGGGACUGAGACACGGCCCAUACUCCUACGGGAGGCAGCGGUGGGGAAUAUUGGACAAUGGGGGGAACCCUGAUCCAGCCAUGCCGCGUGUGUGAAGAAGGCCUUAUGGUUGUAAAGCACUUUAAGCGAGGAGGAGGCUCUUUUGGUUAAUACCCAGAAUGAGUGGACGUUACUCGCAGAAUAAGCACCGGCUAACUCUGUGCCAGCCGCCGCGGUAA